rnacentral:rRNA from 1 species
UAGCCGUAAACGAUACUCGCUAGGUGUCGGCCACGGUGCGACCGUUGUCGGUGCCGUAGGGAAGCCGUGAAGCGAGCCACCUGGGAAGUACGGCCGCAAGGCUGAAACUUAAAGGAAUUGGGCGGGGGAGCACAACAACGGGUGGAGCUUGCGGUUUAAUUGGAUUCAACGCCGGAAAUCUCACCGGAUAAGACAGCAGAAUGAUUGCCGGGCUGAAGACUCUGCAUGACUAGCUGAGAGGUGGUGCAUGGCGUCAGUGACU